GUGCCAGCAGCCGCGGUAAUACGUAGGGUGCGAGCGUUGCCCGGAUUUAUUGGGCGUAAAGGGCGCGUAGGCGGCGACGCACGUCCGUUGUGAAAUCGCUCGGCUCAACUGGGCGGGGUCAGCGGAUACGGUGUCGCUUGAGCAAGCUAGGGGGCAAUGGAAUUCCCGGUGUAGUGGUGGAAUGCGUAGAUAUCGGGAGGAACACCAGUGGCGAAGGCGGUUGCCUGGAGCUUUGCUGACGCUGAUGCGCGAAAGCGUGGGGAGCGAUCCGGAUUAGAAACCCCCGUAGUCC
rnacentral:rRNA from 1 species